UACGGGGGGGGCAAGCGUUGUUCGGAAUUACUGGGCGUAAAGGGCUCGUAGGUGGCCAACUAAGUCAGACGUGAAAUCCCUCGGCUUAACCGGGGAACUGCGUCUGAUACUGGAUGGCUUGAGUGUGGGAGAGGGAUGCGGAAUUCCAGGUGUAGCGGUGAAAUGCGUAGAUAUCUGGAGGAACACCGGUGGCGAAGGCGGCGUUCUGGACUGCAACUGACACUGUAAAACGAAAGCCAGGGGAGCAAACGGG
rnacentral:rRNA from 1 species